rnacentral:tRNA from 1 species
GGAGAGAUGUCGGAGCGGCUGAACGGACCAGUCUCGAAAACGGGAGUAGGGGCAACGCUACCGGGGGGGAAAUCCCUCUCUCUCCGCCA